rnacentral:rRNA from 1 species
AAUGAACGUUGGCGGCGUGGAUUAGGCAUGCAAGUCGAACGGGCCCGGCUUCGGCCGGGUCAGUGGCGCAAGGGUGAGUAAGGCGACGGUAACCAACCCCACGGUUGGGUAUAGCCGCGGGAAACUGCGGGUAAUCCCCAGCGAUGUAAGAGGCCGGCAUCGGCGUCUUAUCAAAGCUUCGGCGCCGUGGGACGGGCCGUUGUGGUAUUAGGUCGUUGGCGGGGUAACGGCCCACCAAGCCGAUGAUGCCUACCGGGCGUGCGAGCGUGGCCCGGCACACUGGGACUGAGACACUGCCCAGACUCCUACGGGAGGCUGCAGUCGAGAAUCUUCGGCAAUGGGCGCAAGCCUGACCGAGCGACGCCGCGUGGAGGAUGAAGGCCUUCGGGUUGUAAACUCCUGUCGAGGGGGAGGAAGGGGCAACCUUGACCGAUCCCUGGAGGAAGCACGGGCUAAGUUCGUGCCAGCAGCCGCGGUAAGACGAACCGUGCGAACGUUAUUCGGAAUCACUGGGCUUAAAGCGCGUGUAGGCGGAUGGGAACGUCGGAUUCUGAAAGCCCCCGGCUCAACCGGGGAAGUGGAGCCGAAACGACCCGUCUGGAGGGACGUAGGGGGACCUGGAACUUCCGGUGGAGCGGUGAAAUGCGUUGAGAUCGGAAGGAACGCCCGUGGCGAAAGCGAGGUCCUGGACGUCUUCUGACGCUGAGACGCGAAAGCUAGGGGAGCGAACGGGAUUAGAUACCCCGGUAGUCCUAGCCGUAAACGAUGGGCACUGGGUAGGGGGCUCGCCGAUGGGCUCCCUGCCGUAGCGAAAGCGUGAAGUGCCCCGCCUGGGGAGUAUGGUCGCAAGGCUG